CAGCCGCCACGGGAAUACGUAGGUGGCGAGCGUUGUCCGGAAUUAUUGGGCGUAAAGGGAGCGCAGGCGGACAUAUAAGUCCAUCUUAAAAGUGCGGGGCUCAACCCCGUGAGGGGAUGGAAACUGUAUGCCUUGAGUGCAGGAGAGGAAAGCGGAAUUCCCAGUGUAGCGGUGAAAUGCGUAGAUAUUGGGAGGAACACCAGUGGCGAAGGCGGCUUUCUGGACUGUAACUGACGCUGAGGCUCGAAAGCCAGGGGAGCGAACGGGAUUAGAGACCCCCGUAGUCCCUGUCUCUUAUACA
rnacentral:rRNA from 1 species